GCACGGCUGACGAGUCCCAUACUAGGACGAAACGGCCGUCCAGUGC
rnacentral:hammerhead_ribozyme from 1 species